UACGUAGGCAGCGAGCGUUGUUCGGAAUUACUGGGCGUAAAGAGUGUGUAGGUGGUGCUCUAAGUUUGGUGUGAAAUCUCCCGGCUCAACCGGGAGGGUGCAUCGAAAACUGGAGUGCUAGAGGAUGGGAGAGGCAAGCGGAAUUCCUGGUGUAGCGGUGAAAUGCGUAGAUAUCAGGAGGAACACCUGUGGUGUAGACAGCUUGCUGGACCAUUUCUGACACUGAGACACGAAAGCGUGGGUAGCGAACAGG
rnacentral:rRNA from 1 species